AAAAAGAUCGAAGCCAAAAAGCGUAAGAAAGAUAUCGAAAAAAUAAAACGAUUUGCUGUACAAAAUAAAAAAGAUAGUUCCGUACAGGCUAUACAAAAGGCAAGAAAGAUUAUAUUUGAAGAUAGUUGCUAUGGAAAGCAACUAAUUAGUUGCCUUAUAGAAUCUAAAACUAUAGAAGAAAGAGAAGCGCAACUAAAAUUCCAGAAGAAAA